ensembl:lncRNA
CUUGUUAUGGUGUUCAACAUCAUCCAAUUAAACACAGACAGUGGAUCCCCGUGCAGCAUUCAACAUGGUCGACCAUGACAUACUACUGGACUGACUAAAUCUGGGUGGGAAUAAAUGACAUGUGGUGUUCCCCAAAGUUCAAUUCUGGGGCCUCUCUUGUUCAACAUCUGCAUGCUUCCACUAGCUCAGAUUAUGGAAAGAAACAAAUGAUGUCAUCAUAAUUAUGCAGAUGAUACACACAUCCACGUAACUAUAUGGGACUACAAUCCCACACACGGGUUGGCUAACUGCAUUGAACAAACUGGGUGUGACACCAUUUUCAUCAUUUAAACACAAUAAAACAUUAUUUUUUAAUUCAAGGACGAACAAUUGAAAGUAAGCGCUGAGCUUUGAUCGCUGAUGUUAAAACACAAACCAAGCCAGAAAUAUAUGUGUAGUUAUGAAUUCAGACCAACAGCCGUAGCCAAACGAUUUUAAAGUUAGCCCACUAUCACAUAUAGAAUGUAUCAUGGAUUAUAACAUGAUUUGUAGAAGUUUGUCCAUGCGUUCAUCUCCAGUAGACUGGGCUGUUGUAUCAGGCCACAGAGCAUUGCACAGUGUCUUCACAGGUCUCAAGUCCUCACUGAGACAAAGGCAGUGGAUCACUCCAGUUCUGAGGUCUUUAUCUGGCUUCCUGUCCAACAAAGAACUGACUUUAAUAUCCUGCUGUUGGUUUAUGGAGCACUGAAUGGUUUUAGAGCCAAAGGCCUGCUGCUUCCUCGUGGACCAUCUCGACCCCUCAGGCUGCCUGUUCCCAGAGUCAGAACCAAACAUGGAGAAGCAGCUUCGGUUUCUCUGCUCCGCAAAACUGGAACAAACUGCCAGAAAUCUGCAGGUCUACUGAGACUCUCAGCGGCUUCAAAUGAAGGAUGAAGACUUUUCAGUUUACUGCUGCCUUUAAUGAACCAGAUUCAAGGAUGAAGUGGAUGCUUUUUACUGUUUUUCUCUUAAGCUGCACUGCAACUGUCAUUCUUGUUUGUUAUUUUAAUGUCUUUUUUUUACUUGUUUGUUUUUAAUUUCCUUACGAUUUUAAUUCAAGAUUCAAAGAUUUUUAUCGUCAGUUAUUAAAAUUCUUGUGCUUGCCUUUUCUGGAAAGCCGACCAAUUUUAAAAUUAAAAUUAAAAUACAAUAUUUACAUGAAUGUACAUGAAAUAAAAAUAAUGUGAAGAACUUACAAUUUCCGUGUUUUUUAAAAAGUGUUAUACAAAUGAACACUUCCGGCCUUGCUUCACCGUCAUGCAAUUAACAAAAUGGUAAAAGUUAACAUCAGCUCAUGAGAAUAAGAACCAGGCCGUGGCAGCCUGCUUGAGGGGCGUGGGGCUUGGCCCCACCCUGAGCACCCCUCAUUGAUCCACGAAAAAACAAAAGUAACCAUAAAUAGAAAUUGUCAAUAUUCUGCAAUUGUCAAUAUCAAGUGGUCCCGGGAGGCGGCAGUUCAGCCAAUCGCUAAUUAGAGAUAUAAAUGUGUGACACACAGUUUAGCCAAUCGGCGUCCUCAAAUAAGGUGCCACUGUCAGGGCUCGUCUCUACAGGCGUCAUUUUAACCACACGACGACGGCGAUGGCCGAUCAGUGUGGAAAUGCUCCUAAAUAAUAACGUGUGAGUGGCACACACGUAUAAUACAACUCCUAGUUCUAUAUGGUGAUCCACAUAUACAUGUAUUAUAUAUAAUACAGAAGAUAGACAUAGAUUAUUAAUUCUUAUCAAUUAGAUCCUCUUUAGGCUUGUUUUUAUAUUAGAUAAUUGAGAGAACGCAUUAAUCUGAUUGAUUGGGGGCAGCGGGUUGUGUUUGUGUGUUGUGGGGCUUUGAUGCGUGGGCAUGAAGAGAUUGAUUGACCACCCCGGCGUCUAAAGGGAAUUGUUGGAUGUUUAGCCGCCCGGGACGAAGAGCUGGAAGAGCACCUUAAUGCAGCUGGUGUGUUCAAAGGCAUCAAAGAGCACAGGACGAUCUGUAGGGCCGCAGGCCGUCGGUUUCAAAGAAUCACAUUGUGGAGGAAGUAAAGAGCACGGAUAUAUAGAUUAUAUAUGUAACUCUAGAACAUGAUAUAUUUAUAAAUAUGAAUAUGACACAGAAAUACAACAUAAUGGCGCCUCUUGGAAGGUUAAAACAAUCCAGUGCAGCCCACAAGCUCGCCCGAUUAGCCUCUAAUAAAUGUUUUUAUGCAAAUAACUUAAUGACCAUGUCCACGUAGGAUUAUCUCCUCUUAAUGGUCCUCCCACUAUGGCAUCCAUUAGUCGCUGGUACCCAAUUUCAGAGCCAUUGCUCAUACAGCCAAAUGAGAGAGGCGAGUCUCUAAUGAGCUGCCGCCCAAUAUGUGCACACGUAGCACCACGAGGUUGGGCUGCAGAGGACGGGGCCAUGCAUCAAACACCCUGGCUGGAGGCCUAUCCGGGCCCCUCUGGUGCGGCUAACGUCACUGUGUGUGGCAGCUCCCACCAUCAGCAUUUCAAAACGUAGUGUUGAAGAGCUGUGAGUGGUCAGAAAACUAGACAUUAGCAUUCUGCGCUGUUAGCUUUGUUAGCUGCCAGCUGCUGACUCAGCUGUUUAAGGUUUAAGGUUAAUAUGCGUAAUGUGGGGUGACCGAGAGACAUUUAAAACCAGAGUUACAUGGAACGCACCAUCAUAUUCUGUACAAACUAGUCACGGCCGGCAUGCCCAGUGGACCCUUUCACACCUUUACUGACCUGUAUAAAUGUCUACAGGUACCAGGGACGUCAGUAAGAGGGUAGGAGUCAUGGAAGCCAGAUGAGCUGGUUUUGGUUUAAACGUCACACACACACACACACACACACACACACACACACACACGGUAGUAGAGCAGAAGGCAAUGUUAACAUUGGCUUUAACAACCGAUUGUAACAUUAUUGACAAAGUCCGGCCUCUCGCACCUUAUUGCUUAAUUAUUGAACAGCGGCCGAUUAUGUUUGUCAGUCAGCAUCAAUGACACACAUAUCGCAUAAAUAAUUAUAAUAAACAGAAAAAAUAUAAAUACAAGUUUAUUAAAUAAAAAGUGCCUACCUUGCCUACCCAUGAUUCGUUGGGGAAGCCAGAGACCGUCACUAAGGGGAAGUCAAUGAGCCUGUCCAGAUCUGAUUUUCAGCACAAACCUUUUCCUCUACUAUGUACGUUUUGCAACUUUUCAAUCCAAGAUGUCUUCCGUCUGUCCGGAGUUUAUUCAUUUUUGAACACAACAUAACAGCCAUUAUUUAAUGGAAUAUUACUGACUUUGGUAGAGGGUUAGCCGUUUAGUUUGCUCUUUGUUGCUCAGCCCAGAGCUGUGUUUGGUUUUCUAUGGAAUGCAUGAAGUGUGUGUUUGUUUGUGUGUUUUGACGUUUGUCCCGUUCUUCCUCCCUGAAUACGUGAAGCCUUACGGACUCAACAGUAAAACCUGAAAUAAACUGUUCCCGAUUCUCAGCAGCUUCUCCGUCCGUUGAAAAAGAAAAAAAAAACCUCAAAUGGAGUGUGUGUACAUUUUAUCAUGUGUGGUAUCGCCUUUUGAAAAUUGCAGGUAGGCGAGUGUUUAACAUUCUCUUGUCAGGCGUCCUCCUGCUGGGACAAUAAAUGCCUGUCCAGUUUUGCUCACAGCGGCAGCUGCAGAUUACAAACAGCAGGAGGACGCCGGAGUCUGAACACAAAAGCGAUAAGGACGCCUGUCUUAGUGCCGCCGCUUUGGCUGGCUUCUCCUCGCGCCAGGAGCCUGCUGCUUUCUAAUAUUUACACACAACUACGACGGCAAAUGUACCGUAACUUCGCCCACACUCUCCUCCCACACCUGGAACCGGUGCGCAUGUUGCUGUGUGUUUCGGUCUUUUGGAAGACAGGGUCCGGGUUAUUUUGGAAGGAAAAGGGAGCGGGAGGCCUAAAUUACUGCACAAGCUGAGUCAAAUUUCCAUCGCAUCUUUUCAUCCAGGAGUUCCAGGAGGAGGGAGGUGUGGAUGAUGGAAACAAGAGUUUUUAUUUUGGAAGUCUGGAGUUUCUGUUUUUCGAGACGAGGGUGGAGGGUGAAAUGCAGAUUCGCUGUCUCGACUGUGACAAUUGGAAAGUGCAGCGGGAAGCCGCAGGCCACGGACACAGCGUAUUACUCACAACAAGUCCAUGUUAUUGAGAAUAAAACACAACGCAGAGAAAGAACACGACUAAUUCUGUGUCGUAAAAAGGCGACAGAAUGCCAAGGUGCUCUUUUGGCGCCUUUCCACCGAGCGGCACGGUACGGGUCGGGUCUGUUAACCAUGAUUUGGCGAGCGUUUCCACCGCCAACAGUACGCUUACUCGAUAGGCGUGGUGUAUUCCAGAAAGUAGUGAUGACGUCACUUGAUGGGCGUGGUACAUGACGGAAAGUAGAUUGACGUAAUUCGAUCGCGCGAGAACUGAAAGCUAACAGCCGACCCUGUUCCUGCUUCUCGAUAUGUGGCUGUUGGUCACAAGGAGACGACACUCUUUGUUUGAGCAAAGGCUACAUGCUGCAGGUGUGUUACGUGUGUUGUCUUUCCCCUUGCGGCACGCGCAAAUGACGACACUCUAUCAACCAAUCAACGCUCUGCAGUGAGUCUAGCUCCGCCCUUCAGUACCAAACAACUGUGCCAGGUGCCCCGACGGAAGGGUACCCAAAAAGUGGUACGGUACGGCUCGGAUUUUUGGUAGUGGAGACACAAAUAAAAGGGUACCGACCCGACCCGUACCGCACCGCUCGGGGGAAACGCGCCAUUAUUCUUUCUUUAAAAUGUCGAUACUUGGUGGAGAUGAGCAUGAUUGACAUCACCUUUGGCCGGUGGUUAGCGCGGUCCCUCACAGCAGGAAGGUCCCGGGUUCGACUCCUUCCUGUGUGAGGGUCUGCGUGGCUUCAUCAGUUGUCUGUGUGUCAAUUGGCUGGUGACCAGGCCAACGUGAACCCCGUGAGACUCUCAAUUCGGAAUCUCUUUGUGGUUAAAUAAAAUGAGGAAUCAUUGCAAUAACAGCACCCUUUGAAGCACUCGCUCAGUAUAAAAACCAGAGCAGGUCACCAACAAUAAAAACACCGUGUGACUUCCAGCCAUUCGCAAAGAAUCACCAACUCGGGCAGAGAAACUGUGCAUAUAUUUUACUUCUUCUUUAUUGUGACCUAAACCCUCAGCGGGAUCUACAGCAGGUAGAAGAACGGCAACUUGUUCCUCUGAACACCCACGAGCAUCACACAAACACAAAAACAAGCGGAGGACACAGAGGAGAGGGGGAGAGAGGGGGAGAGCGGCGAGGCAGAACACACCUCGCCAGAUGUUCGGGCUGCAUCAGAGCUCACACGGCGACGGGUGCAGCCUCCACAGCCUGCAGCAUCUCCUCCAGACGCAAAGUUCCACACCAGACUUCCAGCUUCACACUGCAGCUUUCAGAAGGAGUCA